AGUGAACGCUGGCGGCAGGCUUAACACAUGCAAGUCGAGCGAGUGGCGGACGGGUGAGUAAUGCAUGGGAAACUGCCCGGUGGAGGGGGAUAACUACUGGAAACGUACGCUAAUACCGCAUACCAUCGGAUGUGCCCAUGUGGGAUUAGCUAGUGGGGGGGGUAAAGGCUCACCAAGGCGACGAUCCGUAGCUGGUCUGAGAGGAUGAUCAGCCACACUGGAACUGAGACACGGUCCAGACUCCUACGGGAGGCAGCAGUGGGGAAUAUUGCACAAUGGGCGCAAGCCUGAUGCAGCCAUGCCGCGUGUGUGAAGAAGGCCUUCGGGUUGUAAAGCACUUUCGUCGAGGAGGCGGUACUCGCAGAAUAAGCACCGGCUAACUCCGUGCCAGCAGCCGCGGUAAUAC
rnacentral:rRNA from 1 species